CAUCCUUGAAAAAGAAGAACAAAAAACUUCGAAGAAGCUUUCUUGAUGGAGGGGAGCGGCAGACGGGUGAGUAACGCGUGGGAAUCUACCGUACCCUACGGAACAGCUCUGGGAAACUGGAGGUAAUACCGUAUACGCCCUAACGGGGAAAGAUUUAUCGGGGUAUGAUGAGCCCGCGUUGGAUUAGCUAGUUGGUGGGGUAAAGGCCUACCAAGGCGACGAUCCAUAGCUGGUCUGAGAGGAUGAUCAGCCACAUUGGGACUGAGACACGGCCCAGACUCCUACGGGAGGCAGCAGUGGGGAAUCUUAGACAAUGGGCGCAAGCCUGAUCUAGCCAUGCCGCGUGAGCGAUGAAGGCCUUAGGGUUGUAAAGCUCUUUCAGCGAGGAAGAUAAUGACUGUACUCGCAGAAGAAGCCCCGGCUAACUCCGUGCCAGCAGCCGCAGUAAUAC
rnacentral:rRNA from 1 species